rnacentral:tRNA from 1 species
GCAGUCGUGGCCGAAUGGUUAAGGCGAUAGACUAGAAAUCCAUUGGGGUCUCCCCACACAGGUUCGAAUCCUGUCGACUGCG